CGAGUGGCGGACGGGUGAGGAAUACAUGGGAAUCUGCCCAGUCGUGGGGGAUAACGUAUGGAAACGUACGCUAAUACCGCAUGCGCCCUACGGGGGAAAGUCGGGGACCGCAAGGCCUGACGCGAUUGGAUGAGCCCAUGUUCGAUUAGCUAGUUGGCGGGGUAAAGGCCCACCAAGGCGACGAUCGAUAGCUGGUCUGAGAGGAUGAUCAGCCACACUGGAACUGAGACACGGUCCAGAUUCCUACGGGAGGCAGCAGUAGGGAAUAUUGGACAAUGGGGGCAACCCUGAUCCAGCCAUGCCGCGUGAGUGAAGAAGGCCCUCGGGUUGUAAAGCUCUUUUGUCCGGAAAGAAAAGCAAUCGGUUAAUACCCGGUUGUCCUGACGGUACCGGAAGAAUAAGCACCGGCUAACUUCGUGCCAGCAGCCGCGGUAAUACGAAGGGUGCAAGCGUUACUCGGAAUUACUGGGCGUAAAGCGUGCGUAGGUGGUUCGUUAAGUCUGAUGUGAAAGCCCUGGGCUCAACCUGGGAAUGGCAUUGGAUACUGGCGGGCUAGAGUGCGGUAGAGGGUAGUGGAAUUCCCGGUGUAGCAGUGAAAUGCGUAGAGAUCGGGAGGAACAUCUGUGGCGAAGGCGACUGCCUGGACCAGCACUGACACUGAGGCACGAAAGC
rnacentral:rRNA from 1 species